rnacentral:rRNA from 1 species
GACGAACCGUGCGAACGUUGUUCGGAAUCACUGGGCUUAAAGGGCGCGUAGGCGGGGUGGCAAGUCUGUGGUGAAAUCCUCCGGCUCAACCGGAGAACUGCCGUGGAUACUGCCAUUCUCGAGGGGUGUAGGGGCAUGUGGAACUCAGGGUGGAGCGGUGAAAUGCGUAGAUAUUGGGAGGAACACCGGUGGCGAAGGCGGCUUUCUGGACAGUGACUGACGCUGAGACGCGAAAGCGUGGGGAGCGAACAGG